rnacentral:rRNA from 1 species
GACGAACGCUGGCGGCGUGCUUAACACAUGCAGGUCGAACGGAAAGGCCCUGCUUUUGUGGGGUGCUCGAGUGGCGAACGGGUGAGUAACACGUGAGUAACCUGCCCUUGACUUUGGGAUAACUUCAGGAAACUGGGGCUAAUACCGGAUAGGAGCUCCUGCUGCAUGGUGGGGGUUGGAAAGUUUCGGCGGUUGGGGAUGGACUCGCGGCUUAUCAGCUUGUUGGUGGGGUAGUGGCUUACCAAGGCUUUGACGGGUAGCCGGCCUGAGAGGGUGACCGGCCACAUUGGGACUGAGAUACGGCCCAGACUCCUACGGGAGGCAGCAGUGGGGAAUAUUGCACAAUGGGCGGAAGCAUGAUGCAGCAACGCCGCGUGCGGGAUGACGGCCUUCGGGUUGUAAACCGCUUUCGCCUGUGACGAAGCGUGAGUGACGGUAAUGGGUAAAGAAGCACCGGCUAACUACGUG